rnacentral:lncRNA from 1 species
CCUGGAGAGUCUAACGUGAGAACAAGAGCAGGAAGGAAAGCGGAGUGCAGUACACUUCCAAUUGAUUUAACCAAGACAUGGCUCCAGAUUCAAGGCUAGAAGAAUGAUGCAAACUAUAAUGAAAUCGGGUAUUGUGGAAUGUUGCAUGUAUUAGUGAGGACAGGCAGAGAAGAAGGCCUGAAAGCGCUGAAUUCAGGAACAGCAA